GCAUUUGCCCGAUAUAAUCCCCAGAUUGGAUACGUACAAGGGAUGUCCUAUAUAGCUGCUGUGCUCCUGAUGAUCCUGUCUGAGGAGGAGGCUUUCUGGGCUCUGGUUGCUCUGUUAGAGAAGCCCAAAUAUUUAUCCGAGCUCUUUGAUUCUUCUCUGGAGAAGAUUCAACAUCAAGCUUUGGUUUUUCAUCAGCUCCUGAAGCACAGGAAACCUCUGCUUUUU